GACGAACGCUGGCGGCGUGCUUAACACAUGCAAGUCGAACGGAAAGGCCCUGCUUUUGUGGGGUGCUCGAGUGGCGAACGGGUGAGUAACACGUGAGUAACCUGCCCUUGACUUUGGGAUAACUUCAGGAAACUGGGGCUAAUACCGGAUAGGAGCUCCUGCUGCAUGGUGGGGGUUGGAAAGUUUCGGCGGUUGGGGAUGGACUCGCGGCUUAUCAGCUUGUUGGUGGGGUAGUGGCUUACCAAGGCUUUGACGGGUAGCCGGCCUGAGAGGGUGACCGGCCACAUUGGGACUGAGAUACGGCCCAGACUCCUACGGGAGGCAGCAGUGGGGAAUAUUGCAAAAUGGGCGGAAGCCUGAUGAAGCAACGCCGCGUGCGGGAUGACGGCCUUCGGGUUGUAAACCGCUUUCGCCUGUGACGAAGCGUGAGUGACGGUAAUGGGUAAAGAAGCACCGGCUAACUACGUG
rnacentral:rRNA from 1 species